CCUGCACGUCUGUCCAGAGCGGCUCAAACUUUGAUUGCCUUGAACCCCUCCCAUGACCCAGAUUCUAAGCCCAGCCUGAGGACUAGAAUCUUGAUACUCAAAGUGUGGCCCCUGAAACCACAGCAACACUUGGGAGCUUUUAAGAAAUAUAAGUUGGCAGGCCCCACCCCAGACCCAGCGAAUCACAAACUUCAAGGUUUGAGACUAGAAAUGCAUACCCAGAGCUUCUCAACUUUGAGGUGCACUCAGAUCACCUGGGGGUCUCGUUAGGUGCAGGCUCUGCCUCUCUAACCAGCUCCCAAAGGACGCCAGUGCCGUGAGCCACCUUUGUAAUAACACGCCCCUAAAUCAGUAAUUCUCAAACUUAAGCCUGCCUUCCAUUCACCUGGAGGGCUUAAUAAAACAGACUGAUGGUGCCUCAUCCCCCAAAAUUCUGAUUCAGAAGGUCUGGAACGGGGCCGGAGAAUUUUCUAACAAGUUCCCAGGUGACGCUGGUAAAACGAUCCUUCUUUGAGAACCACUGCCCUAGCCUAUAAGAACGUCCUUCAGUUAGACGGUUAACCUCUUGCUUUUUGGCUCUGCAUUUGCAUGAAGCCACACUUAGUCCUUGAAUCCUGGCUCCUUAGGGUUGAAAAUAACUUUAGAGGCCAGAGGCAAAGCCAGCGUGCAGCAGCUAGACUUACUGGAUUCAGUGUUGUUUACUCUGCAUCCUGCUGGCUCUGCAGCUCCAUAAAUUUUCCAGCAUCCAGCAAUGGCAGUGGUUUUGGUGAGCUCUGCAUCUCAGGCCGGUUUUGUAAGCACUUGAAUCCCUAGUAGACACAUAUGUCAUUGGCACAAUCUGUGAAAACACAGGCGCCUCCUACCUCACAGCUCUUCGAAAAGAGGGCUUUGGAAAAAACCAGCAGCCUCCCUGGCAGCCAUGGUGGAGAGAAAAUGCAGCAGCCAGGAGGCAAACCCAGACGAGGUGUCCUACAUAUUUUCUUGAAGCCGAGGUUUGGAACUGGCAUGCCAUCACUUCCUCCAUAUUCUAGUGGCCAAAGUCAGACCCAAGACCAGUCCACUGCUUCGUGGGAGGAGCUGCAACAUCACACGGUAAAGAUAGGGAGGAGGGAGUAGUUUGGAGCCACUCUGCAAUUGACCACAGAGGAGUUUUCUCAGUUUGGGAGACACUGAGACAGAGAAAACCAGGGCAAUGGUUUACUUGGUUACUUGAGAAGUGAAGGAAAUGCUAGUGGGAGCACAGGGGAUUGAGACCCAGAGGAAAGCAGCUGGUAAAGCAAGCACACUCUGGCCAGCCAGCACUCUGGCAGAUAGAGCUGAAUUUCACUGGACAACUCUGGGAGUGCUGGACACAUGCCUUUCUGUUAUCCUACCUGAGAGAGGGAGCUAAGGCAUUUAUAUAUCAAUUCUUAGCAGUUAUUGUUGAGGGCUUUUUUUAAGGGGGCACUGAUUUCCCCUUACUUCAGCCUCCCCUGCUGGGCAGGUGCUGGUAGUUGGUGGCCUGGCCCCUUUGCACCAAAGGGGUGAGGGUCAGGAUAUGCAAGUGGGACACCCGUGCUGCCUCCUGCAAUGGUGAUAUAAAAAAGAAAAAGAAAACUCAAGCUUCGCUUUUAAGUUAGUUAAGUAAUAACAUNNNNNNNNNNNNNNNNNNNNNNNNNNNNNNNNNNNNNNNNNNNNNNNNNNNNNNNNNNNNNNNNNNNNNNNNNNNNNNNNNNNNNNNNNNNNNNNNNNNAAGUUAGUUAAGUAAUAACAUCUUCCCCCCCGCUAGUUUGAGGUCUUUUUGUUUUAUUUGCAGGUGAUGCUUCAUUUCUUUUCCCAAUCCAAGUUUGGAACACUAGAUGGCGUCAUAUCAAGAUAUCAUGCAGCUCUGGAAGCAAAGUGCGAUGUUCCUGGUUGUCCUUGGAACUGAACAAUUAGCAGCAUGAGUUGGGAGCAAAGAGCUGUCUGCUGUAGCUGUGGUGGACCACUUCAGCUCUACCAAGAACAUUACUCAGGCUGAACUUGCCCCUUGGCACCAACGUCACACACCAUGGUGGGCAGGGGGUGGGCAAAGCGCAGAGGGCAGGCAGAGGUCACUGACCUUCUCUAAGGUGUGGAGUUCCCAAAAUCACUAGAAGGAAGCAGAAAGAACAAUGAAAUUUUCUAAUCCCAGAAAGGUCUUUGAGCUGUAUGGAAAUGGGCCAGAAGGAAAACAUUAAACUUAUAGUAGAGAUUCAUUCUUGGGGCUGGAAGUGGAGAAGGGGAUAGUAAAUGAGGUUGAAAGUGAGGAUCCAAGAUAUUUAACAUUUUAUUUUAAAUAUUUCAUGCAAAUGAGACAAAAUUUAAGCAACGAUCANNNNNNNNNNNNNNNNNNNNNNNNGUUGCCAUAUUAUCAUCUCUACUUUUUCUUAAAUUUCAGAAAAAGUGUGUAGGGAAUAGGGUUGGAGGGGAAUGAUGUUCUCUUGUAAUUAGCAAGGUCUGGCAGGCCUGUAGAAGUAACAUUGUUAGUCGAUUAACAUUUGCUAAGUGCUUCCCCUUACUGAACCUUCAUUUCCUUGUUUAUAAAAUGAAGAUAACAGUAAUAUCAAUGUCAAGGGUUGUAGUUAAGUCUUAGAUGAGGUGAUACACCCAUACCGCCCAGCAUGGCAUCCCAGGAGAGAUGCUUCCUCAGAAAAUGCUCGCUGCUCCCUUCAUCCGUCCCCCAGUGCUCACCAUGCCAGUAAGGGUUAGGAUCCCCUCCUGUGGAGUCAAACAGAUGACUGGCUAGUUGUCUGCU
ensembl:lncRNA